CGCUGGCGGCGUGCCUAACACAUGCAAGUCGAACGGGGAUUUGUUCGGCAGAAUCCUAGUGGCGAACGGGUGAGUAACGCGUAGGCAACCUGCCCCCCGGUCUGGGACAACACCCCGAAAGGGGUGCUAAUACCGGAUCCGAAGAUGACACCGCAUGGUGUUAUCUUGAAAGAUGGCCUCUACAUGUAAGCUAUCGCCGGGGGAUGGGCCUGCGUCCGAUUAGCUGGUUGGUGGGGUAACGGCCCACCAAGGCGACGAUCGGUAGCCGGUCUGAGAGGAUGAACGGCCACAUUGGGACUGAGACACGGCCCAGACUCCUACGGGAGGCAGCAGUGGGGAACCUUCCGCAAUGGGCGCAAGCCUGACGGAGCAACGCCGCGUGGGUGAAGGAAGUUCUUCGGAACGUAAAGCCCUGUUGUUUAUGACGAACGGGCUUCCUGUGAAUAAUGGGAAGCAGUGACGGUAAUAGACGAGGAAGCCACGGCUAACUACGUGCCAGCAGCAGC
rnacentral:rRNA from 1 species